UUCACACAUUUCUUAGGCAAAGUUACACUUUUAUCCAAAGUGAUUUUUAAUGGAUUUAUUCGAUCAGUGCACGAAUACGAAAGUGAAUUUCAAGUUUAGAUUUAGAGACAGAAGAAGCACUUUUAUUUGACAAUUGCAUUAAAAUGGUUCGUAAUGAGUGUAAUAAUAAUUCCUGUGACAUGACGAAUGUUUUCAUCUGUCAGGUCAUCAUUCAGCAGCUCUCUGGCUCUUAGCUCAGAGUCAAGAAACCCGGCAGCAGUCGGAUUCAUUCUCUCGCGAGGAGAACAGAGGGCGUUAGGACCGAGAGACCCGUGCAUGCGUGUGUUUGAGGAGAGAACAAAGGCUGACAUGUGUAAGAUGAAAGCUGAGUGAAAUCUAAACUAAUCAAACCCAACGAGACAGCUGGAGCCGGUUCAACACACAGACAUUUAAACGCUCACAUUCGCUCCGGGCUGAAAGAAAACAGUUCGGGUGGAGAGACGGCGAAGAAAAAACCCAAUGCGCUGGCCGAGAGUCAAACAGGUGUAUGAAAGAAACCCUCCUCGUGUCGAGGCUACAGUAUGUGUUGUUUGUUUGCAAAGCAACACUAAAGGACGGGCGGACAUGAAUAAACACACGGCCACGGCACUUGUGACUCACAAACGUCUCUCUCUUUUCUUCUCUCUAUUCAACAGCGUUCAAAAGAGACUCCAGUUCAAAGCACCAGGUUUUCUUUCAAACGCUCUAGUUUUAAAGGAGCUCUCGCUUAGAAAGACUUUCGCCCGCGGCGGGCCACAGGACGAAUGCUUACAAAGCAGAACGUUAACAGUGGAGAAAUGCUUUGAUUUGACUUCAGGAGAGAGACACCAAACCCAAGUCAACACAUUUACACACCUUCAAACUCUCACCGUCCCAUCAUGAGACACUUCAUUGAGUUCACUUCAAUUAAAACAGACAUAUCGGGUUUUUGAAUAUUCAGCGACAGAUCGAACGCUCGGAGGACGAGGAACUGAGGUGUUUGCGUGAUUACCCGAGAGACGUCGUGGCACGUCGCUGAUGCUGGGCAAACCGGUGGCACGGGCGGAUGACAGCGGGGUGGUGGAGUGGAUGGAUGGUGAUGUCAUCUGGCUCAGGUGACAUGAAACAGAAGCUCACACCAGUUUGAUGGCAAUGCAAACUGAGUUUAAAGUGAGAUCUCUGACGUGCGAUUGACAUCUUCAGAGGAGACGGAGAGAUUCCUGCCGUCAGAUUUCUGAUGCUUCUGAUUUAUCUUCAUUUAACCUCACAGUUGUCCAGGAGAUAUUAAUGAGAUCUGUGUGAUUGUGAUGUGUGUUGUGUUGUGUUGUGUUGUGUUGAGAGAAGAGAUGAAGCAGAUGACGUUCACCACUUCACUUCCAGAAAGAAGAAAGAAUGUGAAAUGAUUCAGCCGGAACAAAGGAAAAUCCCUAACGCUCAUACCCUGAGACAUCUGUCAACAAUACACAUCAAGAGUACUCGCAUUUAUCUCCAAUAAACACUAACACAGCACACAAUGACGAAAACAUCCGAAUAUUGAGAGACUAGGACAUAAAAAACUUCACGCAUGCUGUCAGAAUGUUAGUAUGUUGUUUGUUUGUUUGUGCUGUGAUCAUGUGAAGAUGAACAGCACACGUGUCCUGAAUGAUCUGGGAGCGAUUUGACAUCAUUUCAGUCACAGGCCUCCACAUGAGAAAUACGUAAGUGUAUAGUGAACAGAUAAACAGAGUAUACGGUAGUGCUUACUAAGAUAAAAAAAACACGGUAGUAUCUUGGAAUUUUACAACAGUUUACUAUAUGUAGGGACAUUUAGAGCCUCUAAAGAAUUCCAUUUAAGGUUUAACGUUUGUAUAUAAACAUGGGCAUCGAGUGAAUAAUACUGCUGUAUUUACAUUUACAUUUAGUCAUUUAGCAGACGCUUUCAUCCAAACGAGGGAAACGAUGGAAGCAGUUGGAACAACAUGAGGACAACAAAAAGCACAAGUGCAGUAAACCUGGUCUCAUAUAGCCCAUAACAGUAUACAGAGCGAAGGGGUUUUAUGGAUGAAAGAGCAGAAAAGAGAUGAAGUCAGAACUGAUGGGUCAGGUGCUGACGGAAGAGAUGUGUUUUCAGACGAAUCUUAAAGAUGGCCACAGAACCUGCUGAUCUUGUAGCAGCGGGCAGAUCAUUACACAGAUGUGGAACCCAUCCAGAGAAGGUACGUCAGAGACAUUUUUUACCUUUUCGGGAUGGCACCUCAAGACGACGUUCGUUUGCAUACAUCGUUGUUCGGGUACAUAAGUCUGCAUUAGCGACUGAUGAUGGGAGUGCCAAUCCAGUGGUGGUCUUGUAGGUCAGGAGCAGAGUCUUGAUUUUGAUGAGAGCGACUAUAGGGAGCCAAUGUACCUUAAUGAAGAGAGGAGUGAUGUGCGCUCUCUUCGGUUCAUUGAACACCACAGUUCUCGCCCCCCAUUGACUCCCAUAGUAGGAAAAAUGACAAUGGUGGUCAAAAGUGCCCCACAACUGUUUGCUGUCCUACAUUCUUCAAAAUAUCAUCUUUUGUGUUCAACAGAACAAAAAAUGAUAUACAAAAAGUAUUUUUCCUACUGUGGGAGUCAAUGGGGUCCAAGAUCAAAGACAUUUAUACAGAUUUGGAACAACUUGAGAGUAAAAGAAGGCAGAAUUCUCCUUUUUGGGUGAAGUGUCCCUUUAAAAGAGCAGAAACACACAGAGAGAGAGAGAGAGAGAGAGAGAGAGAGAAAUGUGACGGCAGCCAAGUACUUCUGGAGUUGUGCCAGUCUCUCAUGUGUGGUCUGAGUUUAUGUUUCUGACUUCAGGAAAUCAGCCACGCCAACACAGGGCACACGCACACGCAACUACAGCUUCAUAAAACCAUGAAAUCAGCAUGUGAUUGACACUAUUACACACCAUUUCAUCACUAGAACAUACAGACUGAAUGAGUUAAUGAAUCUAGUAACAGAAACUUCUGUCUGUUCCUCACGCUUUCAUUUAAGAAUCUGUGAAUCAGCGUCUGUGAGUUCAGCACAUGUGUUUAAAUCAGACAGAUUUCCGCCAGCGUUUCUAUCCCGAGAGUGUCUUCAUUUUCACCGAUUUACUACAGUGAGUAUUGACUUGUGUAUCAUAUAUGCAUCGCAGACAGUGUGUGUGUGCGCGUGUGCGUGUGUGUGUGUGCGUCCAUAUACAGUAUGUGUGUGUGUGCGCGUGUGUGUGUGUGAAGGGUAAACCCUACGGUAUGGGGACAAAAUGUCCCCACAAAGAUGGCAAUAUGCAAAACCCUUGUCCUUGUGGGGACAUUUUGUUGUCCCCAUGAGGAAACAAGCUUAUAAAUCAUACAGAAUGAACUUUUGUGAAAAUGUAAAAGAGCAGACAGUUGUGUGUGAUUGUUAGGGGUAGGGGGUAGGGAAUAUGAUAUACAGUUUGUACAGUAUAAAAACCAUUGCAUCUAUGGAAUGUCCCCAUAAAACAUGAAAACCCAACAUGCGUGUGUGUGUGCGCGCGUGUGCGCGUGCCUCCUCUAUAAAGUAUUGCUGUUGAUCUGUGUGUCUGUCAUCAUGAUUCCUAAAAACACUCCAAACAUAUCUGAGAUGCUGUGAUUUUGGGAUAAUAACACAACAAAUCAUUUGUUUGUCAAUGAUGAUGCUGAUGCUGUAUAUACCGUCUAUCAUAAAACCACUAUUUGUAAGCAGAAUAUGUGUGUUAUUGCAAAACUGUAAGUGACCAUCUGAAAGUUAAUAAAUCUAUUGGAUGAUGUAAUAAACGCUGGCUUAUCACUGGUUCAGAAGAACUUCCUGUUUCACUACACAAACAUUUGAGCAAAAUACAACCUACAGAAUAUGGAUAACUAAUUUAAAAUGUUAAACAAAUAGAUUAAAUGAUACAUGUUCGAUUGAAAAAAUACUAAUAAAUAAAUAACUGAAACCGGAAGGAAGUCUGGAGCAGUGUUUACGGCUUGCAAAGUGGUCGAACGGAAAACUUGAAGUGGAAACUCUCAUCCGCUGUCAUGAAUGUCCGUUUCAGACAGUUUUCAGAUGUCGUUUGGACGUGUGUUUGUGGAGAACACAGGCAGAUAUAUUCAGCUGUCUUCAGUUAGUUUUGUGUUUUGAAUGGAGUGUUUUGUCUGAGGGCUUUUCUGUGUGUUUGUACGUGUCUGCACACGCAGAACUGAGUUCAAAGGACAUCACAGGUUCACCUCUGACAAACCACAACCAAAAACAACCCGACAUCAGCCACAUGUUUAUCUGCAACAGAUUCAUUCAAAUCAUAUGAUUUCAACAUCAAAAUCCUAGAUUUACAGGUGUUUAUAAUACAUUUGUAUAUUUUCUAUUGCUUUAUCAAAAUUAACAAAAGAACGAGAGAGAGAGAGAGAGAGAGAGAGAGAGAGAGAGAGAGAGAGAGAGAGAGAGAGAGAGAGAGAAAACUAAACAGUAGUGUGUGUGUUGGUGUAAAAUAUAAAAACCGCGCGUGGCGUGUCAAGCUGAAGGUACACACACAUGUUGGCAUCCGAGUUUUAUUCAUGGUUGUCUAAUACUGUAGAAAAUUACUAACGUUAUAUGACUGAUCUCAGAUCUUACAUACAAAGUCAAUGCAAAGAAGCGUAGAAACGCGAAUCAGGUGGCACGAUUGCCGCGAACGCGCAUCAAUCUCGUCUUCCGCGAAGGUUGAAAAUAUUUGUCAGAUCGCGCUAAAAUAACAAACUUUUCCCGCGAGUAAUAAAGAGCGUGGAACGCGAUUGUUCGUGUUUGGUGUAAACCCGGCAAAAGACGCGUGAUAAGUAGUUCUGACACUACUGCCCGGUUUUGCAGACAAGGCUUAAGACUAGUCCCAGACUAAAAUGAAAGUUUGAGCGGUCUCUACUAAAAAAAAUUGCCCUGAAAUAUUUUUAAAUAUGUCAGUGUCAUUGUUUUGUCUCAAGAUGCACACCAGUCAGUCAUAUUUUUAUCUCAGGCAUUUUAUUAAAAGCCACUUAAAUAUCCUAAUUUAACUAAAGCAUAGUCCUGGCUUAAGCUAAGCAUUGUCUGUGAAACCGGGCCUAUAUGUGAAUGCAAGAUCGAAUCCGCCUUUUUCGAAUCCACCCUAACCCGAACUACAUUUUCACAUCACAAAUCGCGACAUACAGGCAAUUAUUUUCAAAAAAAUGAAGAAAAUAUCAGAAAAUGGCUAACAGGUGAUCAAUAAUAAAGUGCGUGGUAAGGUUAGGGGUAGAGAGGUCUUUAUUGUCUCAAUUAGUUGGCAUCCAUUUAAUACAUGGAUAAUCCAUUUAAUCAUUUACACAGCUAUUAUUAUUGUAUAAUGUAUAAUGUACAACAUUACUUUGUUUACCUUGCUGUGUCGAAACGGAAUGAAGUUUAAUUUAUAUCUCUGAAUGAGCUCGUCAGUGUCAAUGUGAUUGAGGUGGCCAAACAUAUGAAGGAAUUUGUCCGAUCAAAUGAAAGAAGGCGGGAUUUGCUGUAUUGACAGAAGCCGAGGUUGGAAUGAUGUAAGUAGCUAAAUGUUUAAUGUUUGACAACUGUAUUAAUGUUAGGGCCGUUCACAUGUCGUGUGUAAAAACACGUGCAAAACGCAGGCUGCGUCAUUUUUUCCCUCUUUGUGCCGCUUGGGAGUUUGCGCUCCCUCAGGGUCUGCCGUUACAUUACAUUUACAUCUACGCAUUUGGCAGAAGCUUUUAUCCAAAGCAACUUACAUUGCACUGUACUAUACAUUUGUCUCUGUCUGACUAUGUGCAAUCGCCUGGAUCGAACCCAUGACUUUAGGGUUGCUAGCGCCAUGCUCUAACCACAGAGCGUUACUAUUUGAGCGUUACUAUUUGAGCGUUACUAUUUGAGCGGUACUAUUUGAGCGUUACUAUUUGAGCGUUACUAUUUGAGCGUUACUAUUUGAGCGUUACUAUUUGAGCAGGAUUUACGCGCAUCAACAUUCAAGUAAAAACCCAGAGUAAACAGCCGACCUCCAGUAAUGCGCAACGUAGUCGCGAACAGACGGAGGGGCCCGUUAAAAGUUUUUGCGUAUGAGCCCGGACCUGACAUGUUGGUUUUUCUGUGAAUGUUUUUCAGCACGACGGCACGGAUCAUCUCUGAUAAUAACUGUGUGUGUUCUUCAUCUCUCCAAUGUAAAGUGGCGUCAGUCAGAGAGAACAAACUCAUUUCACAUGUAUUCAAAGUCAGAAAUACACCACAAAUUGAGCUUAAAAUACUUUCCAGUAAUAGAUUCCUCAGAGACGUUUCACUCACAAAAACCCUUGAACCACAGCACUACAUAUUCAAUAUUCCCUUAAAGAAAUGGUACAUUUUAUAUUGCUGUUUGUUGUCUUUUCACAUUUAACACAGCAAGAAAUAAUGACUCCGUAUCUCUCGCUUUAAACCCUCCGACAUGAACUCCAACCUUCACCCUCACCAAACUCAAAGUGGAAAUCUGGAUAAGAAAAUGAUUCCUUCUUUUAAAUGCUGAAGUUUUCGAGCUCUCCUGUGAGUUGUGUAUUGAUUUGAAAGUGUCGGCGUUGUGAGAGGGUCUUUCAGCAGCAGAUCCGUACGAGAGAGGAUCAGGUAUCCUCAUUAUGAGGCUGCUGCUGGAAACACAAGGCCCUCUCUCUAAAGGUCUUAGACGCCCUUCCCCGUCUAUUAGUUCAAAUUACCUUUAAUAACCAGAGUUACACCAGACCACCACAUGAUUCCACACGCGUGCCAUGAGACCUAACAACACACGCUCCAGUUAUACAACAUCAUCAUGACGUCAUGAACAUGCGCAGGGAUGAGACUUUAAUGUCGUGGUCAUGUUCGUCUGAGCACUCUGAUCUGAAUCUGAUGUACGUAUACCAGUAACACCAGUAGAUUUUGACCUUGUGGGGACAUUUUGUAGGUGCGCAUGAGGGAAAACAGCUUAUAAAUCAUACAGAAUGAUAUUUAUUGAAAAUGUAAGAAUGCAGAAGGGUUAGGGAAUAGAAUAGAUCAUAAGCCUCAUAUAAAAUCAAUGGAAGUCUAUGGAAUGUCCCCAUAAAACAUGGAAACCACUGUGUGUGUUUGUGCGUGCAUGUGUGUGUGUGUGUGUGUGUGUGUGUGUGUGUGUGUGUGUGCGCGUGUGUGUGUUGGCUCUCUUUGGUUGAUGUAAGUGAUGUUUUCUUUAGGAAUGAGCAGACGCUGCUGGAGAGUUUCACAGUAGUCGAGUCAUCUCUGCUCUUUCUCAAUAAUUCACACCGUUAAAGCAAAGUGUCGAGCACCUUAGCAACAACACAAACACAAUGUACAGAACCUUCAUUAACACGCCUGACAUCACAUCCCUACAAGACCACAACAACAUCUUCAAGACACGUCUCUCUCUCUCUCUCUCUCUGUGUGUGCGUGUGUGUGCGUGUGUGUGUGUGUGUGUGUGAGUGCGUGUGUGUGCGUGAGUGUGUGUGCAUGUGUGUGUGUGAGUGCGUGUGUGUGCGUGUGUGGGUGUGUGUCUGCGUGUGUGUGCGUGAGUGUGUGAGGAAUGUGUGCAGUGUGUGUGUGUGUGUGUGUGUUUGUGUGUGUGUGUGUGUGCAUGUGGGUGUGUGACUGUGUGUGUGUGCGUGAGUGUGUGGGUGUGAGGAAUGUGAGCAGUGUGUGCGCAGUUACAGGCAGCGUCAGCUACACAACACACACACACACACUCACAGGAUGUUGCACAACUCAGAUGUCUGUGCAUGUGUCAUCAUUUCCUGUCUUACCACCUGCCAUGUGCUUACAAACAUCAACACAACCAUGACAAAUACACACUUACAGAUAAACACUGAGAGAGAGAGAGAGAGAGAGAGAGAGAGAGAGAGACUUCUACAGAAAAAGAACUGAUUCUGAUCACCUACAUUCAAUCUAACAUCCUGACAAACUGCUCUCAUCAUUUUACUUUGACCUCACAAUCUGUGAGGGUUUUAAACUGUGUUUGUGUUUCAGGUGACGAUGUUUCAUUCAGGUACAGGAACAGUUUUUCACCAUCAAAAUGAAUCAAAUCUGGUCUCAUCUUGUAUUUUUUCAUGUUUAAUAUUCGGUUCUGAUCAGAAAUAACGUCUGAUUACAAAAGUUAAACUGCGGCCUCAAUGUUUUUGACAUCUCUGCUCUUAAGAUGUUAGUCAUUCUAUAAGUCUGCAACCUCAGAAAGAGAAAAUAAACAGAAAAAUGAUUGUGUUUACAGCAACAGAAGCUGUGUUUGGCGUGUGAGAUGAAAGAGUCGCUCAGCUCCUCUGCCACAUGAUGUGAUCAUUACCAGAAGAAGAAAAGAAACAAACGAACACAAGUUCUUUCUGUGUUUGUGAUGAUUCAUUGUGAUGAAACAAUAACUUAAAUACAUGAAACAACAUCUGUUUUAAUGUCAUUACUUUGACACAACCAGUUGUCUAUUUUCAGACCUUUGACCGUCAUGUCAGACUGUAAUAGAAACCCAGAAUAGAGAAAGUCAAACCCUGUGUAUGAUCUUUCUUCCACAUGAAAGUCGUUACGCAGCGCAGCUUCUUCUAACAGUUUUUUUAUUUCAGG